rnacentral:lncRNA from 1 species
AACCAUAGGGAUGGGAACCCAUGGAGAGCGGAACCAUAGAGAUGGGAACCCAUACAGAUAGGAACCAUAGAGAUGGGAACCAUAUAGACGGGAACCACAGAGAUGGGAACCCAUGGAGAGUGGAACCGUAGGGAUGGGAACCAUAGAGAUGGGAACCCAUGGAGAGUGGAACCAUAAAGGUGGGAACCAUAGGGAUGGGAACCCAUGGAGAGUGGAACCAUAGAGAUGGGAACCAUAGAGAUGGGAACCCAUGGAGAGUGGAACCAUAGAGAUGGG